rnacentral:ncRNA from 1 species
UACCAUAUCUAGCGUUAUGGUUCCCCACAUCAUCAAGAUGCAGGGCUAAGAGGGAAGCCGGAGAAUCGCGCCACGGCGCGUUUCCAGCCGGCGCUGCCCCCGCAACUGUGAGCGGAGAGCGGUUUCGUCGUUUCAGCGUCACUGGUGCCGGCCCCGCUUUUGCCGGGCCGCGCCGGGAAGGCCGGACGGAGCCGCCGUGACCCGCGAGCCAGGAGACCUGCCAUGACCGAAUGAACGUC